rnacentral:rRNA from 1 species
GACGAACGCUGGCGGCGUGCCUAAUACAUGCAAGUCGAACGCAGUGGGGACGGGUGAGUAACACGUGGGUAACCCCCCAUCAGAGGGGAUAAAACUUGGAAACAGGUGCUAAACCGAUACUGAUGGAUGGACCCGCGGUGCAUUAGCUAGUUGGUGAGGUAACGGCGCACCAAGGCCCGGAUGCAUCGCGGACCUGAGAGGUGGAUCAGCCACACUGGGACUGAGAAACGGCCCAUACUCCUACGGGAGGCAGCAUGAGGGAAUCUUCGGAAAUGGACGAAAGUCUGACCGAUCAACGCCGCGUGAGUGAAGAAGGUUUUCGGAUCGUAAAACUCUGUUGUUAGAGAAGCGGUAUCUAACCAGAAAGCCACGGCUAACUACGUGCCAGCCGCCGCGGUAAUUC